rnacentral:lncRNA from 10 species
GGGAUGACCAAAGGCAGCAAACGCAGACUGCUCAGAAGACCCCGAGACACUUGCACAACCAUGGGAGGAGGGGUGGCUCCCUGGACAAUGAAAGAGACUAGAUUUAGGGGAGUGCGAUCCAAGCCAAAUUUAUUUCAAGAAGAUUAAAGGAAUAUGAUAGUUCUGGAAAGCAUACUGGAGUAAUGAAGCCCAAUAGCCGGGGUACUGCAUGGGUGAAACAGAAAGGGGCUAAUUAGUUCCCAGAAAAUGGGAGGAAAUGGUCAAGUGUUGAUGAAGCCUGAAGUUUACAACCUCUCCUUAGGCCUAUACUAUAAUUCCCAUGGCCACAUUCUCAUGUUCAGUUUUAUUCAGGCACUAACAAGGACAAAGGUUGACAAACAUAGAAAAGGAAUGCUAGAAUCUCUUUAAUGGUGUGGACAUUCUCUUCAUCAGCCUCAUGAACUCAGAUUUGGGAUGAUGCUUCCUGGCUGGUGCUGUUCUUCCCCACACCUUGUCUUCCUCCUAGCUGACUUCUCUGCAUCACUUGCAUGGCGGAGUGUUCAGGGAACUUGAGGGAUCUACACACUCUAUGUACAGACCUCAUCCAGGCUGUGCCAAAUAGUAUUUUAGAAUGGUCAAGGUUUAGUGCCCAGGAUCACCCAUCCAGAGGCUUUGCAAGGGUUGGACAGACAUGGCCCUGAGAGAGCCCAUGGCUUGAUGAGCUGAGUGCAGGCUGAAGUUCAGGCCCCACAGGCCCUCCCUCUAGCAACUCUGAGCAAUCUACAUAGUCUGCAUGAGCAGACAGAUAAUCUGCUGCUGCAUACAGGACAAACAGAGCUCACCCCUGCUCACUAAGGCUCACCUCCUAGGAUGCCUCCUAGGCAGGCAGAAGUUAAGGCUGGCUUGCCACACUCACAUUCUAGGACCAGGGACCUGCACCUGCCCUUGCUACGCUGACCAGUCUCCCAGGCUGUCACCACUGCCCUUGGAAGAGCUCACACUGCUGAUAUUCCAAUCUCCUUUCUUGCUCUUGCCAAGAGGUGGCAAGAGGGUCUCCUUAUUCACCUGCCCACUGAAAACCAAAAUUUUUUUUUUAUUAUAGUAAAAUAGACGUAACAUAAACUUGACCAUUUUCACUAUUUUUGAGAGCGGCAUGAAGUUCAUCGCAUUGUUGUGCCACCAUCACCGCCAUCCAUCUCCAGAACUUUCUCUUCAUCCCAAACUGAAACUCCUAACCCAUUCAACAGUAAAUCCUCAUAUCCUUUUCUCCUAGCCCCUUAAUUUAAAAUGGAUAAGGAUAGUAUUUUUGAAAUAAUAAUGUUUAUUUCCUGUUGACUUUCUUAUUGACAAUCUGCCCUUGAUACAGGCAGAGGUAUCCAUUGUCUUGGGAAUAGUUAAGAUUGUGAAAGGGGAAAUGGAAUGAAAAAGAGCCAAAUGUUUGGGGUUUAGCUUCUAUUAAUAAAACAAAAUUUUUGAGACCCUGGCUUUCAGCAAAAAGCCAGUCUUUAUAAACAGAGGCAAAUGUCCUUCCAAAUUCCAACAGGCUCCUGGGAAGCUGGGUGGGCACUCAGGAUGGCCUCGCUCCAGGUCACCUUGCCUUGCGCCACUGUCUUUAGGAGUGAAAACAAUCCAUAAGCAGCAUCAUAGCUGUGCCAACAAAUAGUGGGGCGGGUAUCGUGGAGGAGGAUUCAAGGCGUCUUUAUAGCCUGGAAGACAGAACAAGGGAUGAGAAAUACAGGUGGUAAGUGUCAGCUCACGUAGGAAUUAAAAUCUGCUUUUCCAAUCCUCCAUCUCUGGGACCAUUUGAGCGGAGACCGACUGACCCUCAUAUUUCAUGGCGGGUGAUGCUCUGGCUGAACUUCGAGACAUCCCAUUUCCUCCUGACUGUUGGAUCCUAUGCCCCUAUGUUAAGAGCAACCAGAAAUACUGUGCUUCCUAAAGUGUGGCCCUCCCGCAGGGACCUUGGGUCCUCCAGGAGUAUGUGUCCAACCACCAAGGUGGGCAGCAGAGUUUGGAGGCCAAAUCCUUUGGUACCUGGAGCGGGAUAGCAAUGGAACCACACAGAGAAUGGCCCAGAGCACUGGGAAGGGUGCCUUCUCAGCAAAAGGCACCUGCACAGAAAUUCAGCCCAUAAAGCCAGGCAGAGAAGGACAUGAAUGACAAUUGGAUAAUGAGUGUUGGCAUUAAAAAGCAUUUAAAAUAAGUCACUAGACAAUUAAACUUGCAAUGUCAGAAAAUCUUACAGCUUAUGUAUAAUCAAAUGAAACUAAACUUGAUAGAGUGUUCACCAGAUUUGACAGUAAUCUUUAAAAUUUAUGACAUUGCCUGUAAUGGGUUUUGAAGCUCAAAGUUUUCUAAACUGGUAAUAAAUGUAAUUAUUGAGUAAUUAAUCUCUUGUGAUGGUGGAAAGAAUGAAUUUUUUCCGUUCUUGCUAAAAGAGUAAGAUUAUAAAAGCUGUUAUAUGUAGCAAAAAAUUUGGUAAAAAUUAUUAUAAAGUGUGUUAGCCAUUGAUUAAUAAAAUAAUGUUUUUCUGGAAGAAAAGAAAACCAGAUAGAGUGCAACAUAAAUGCAAAGUUUUGCUCAGCAAUUAAUGUUUUCUCUUUUUGGAUUUUAAUUGUUAUGUGCCGACAGCCCAAAAAGCCACAUAUAUCAUGUCCAGUCCGAAAUACAGAAAAAAAUGUGCAUAAAGAUGUUUAGCCCAGCUUUGUUUUCAACAGGGAAUAACGCCUGAGUGUUUCACAGUAGGGAAUUGGGAUAUGACAAUAUUAUUAUAGCAUUUUGCAGCCGUUAAAAGGAAUGUUUCUGAAAAGCUUCUAAUAACAUUGUAAAAAAGCUGUGUCAUAAUCUUCCGUUUAAAAAAAGCAGGGUAUAAAAUUGAACACUUCAUAUGAUUUCAGCUACAUUAAAACAUGUCUAGAAAAUACAACCAAAGGGAAUAAAAACUUUCAUUGCCUCAAAUUACCCCAAAGGGAAAGGGCAGCCCAUGGCCAGGAAGGGCCAGCCUCAGAAGGACUGAAGUUGCUGACUUGUGCCUACGGCGGCAGCAGCUGCUGGUUUCUCCUUCCAUGUUAAUCUGGGUCACAGAAUCUCGUGAUUUACAGAAGCAGCUCUGGCUCAUUCUUGGGUGACUGGCCUGCCUUCUUGGAAGACAGGAUGAUGCUCAUCAACGCUGGCUGUGACGCAACCUGAGGACUCUGCAAACCUCCCGUGGGGUCACACACUGGGGCAGAAGCCCCAGCAUCUGAGUGUCCGCUUUGAGGAUGGAGCGAGUGGGAUGGGUGAGGCAGAGAGGAAGAAACUUCUCCGGAUGUCCUGCUGCCAGAGUGCGGUUGACUCAAACCAUCUGGAAGUUCUCUUUAGUUGUAAAAUUCUGUGAUUUCAAUGGAAAAGAUGGUAUCAUUCAUCCAGAGCUCACCUGAGCUCCUUCUCUCUACCCUGAGGAGAAUCCUGGGGGCUGGAGUCACAGCAUAGGGUGCUUGGGAGGCCGUCCUCACCCAGCACCAGCCCCAAGAGUGUUGCCACCAGGGAUAGCCCAGCGUCCCCGAGGACCUCUGCUGUGGGCAUUCCUGUGGCUUCUUCCCCCUCACACCCACACACUUCUUCCCUCCUUUCUGAUAAAGAAUCAAGAAUUUGCCGUGGGAGCAAAUAGGCAGGAACCAGCAAGCUUCUGAGGCCCAGCGCUUCCAGGAAGAGAUCAGCAGCUGUCUGUCCUGAAGGUAUUUCCAGGGUUCCUUUCUGCUCAGCGGAGGUGGAAGGGAGCUCACUGCUCCUUAACUCUCCCUGUCAGAGGUGCCCCUGGUCCACCCUCUCUGGCCAUGGCAUUCAUUUAGGGCAGACAAGCGGUUCCUGUCCUGAGUCAACAUCUGGAAGCCACCAGGCCCUGGGCUGGGAGGAUUUGGAGCCUGUCAUCAGCAUGUGACUUUUGGUUGUGAUGCUACAGUCUG